rnacentral:sRNA from 1 species
AUACUUAUAAUUAUUGCUCUG